UCAGACGAUGCGUCAUGCAUAUCAAUAAGCGGAGGAAAAGAAACUAACAAGGAUUCCCCUAGUAACGGCGAGUGAAGCGGGAAGAGCUCAAAUUUGAAAUCUUAAAGGGUUUCCCUUUACGAAUUGUAGUUUAAAGAAGUGUUUUCUGUGAGGUUUUGGUAAAAGUUCUUUGGAAUAGGACAUCAUAGAGGGUGAGAAUCCCGUAUUUGACCUUUACUUUCAACUUUGUGAUACACUUUCAAAGAGUCGGAUUGUUUGGGAAUGCAGUCCAAAAUGGGUGGUAAAUUUCAUCUAAAGCUGAAAUAUUGGCGAGAGACCGAUAGCGAACAAGUACCGUGAGGGAAAGAUGAAAAGAACUUUGAAAAGAGAGUUAAACAGUACGUGAAAUUGUCAAAAGGGAAGCGUUUGACACCAGUGUUGUUUUUCUGAAAAUCAAUUAAAGAACUGUUUAUGCUAAGCUGUUUAGACUUUAUCAGCUAUCUGUUUAGUUUUGAGCUUUUCUUUAAUGCACUUUUCAGUUAACAAGUCAACAUCAAUUUCUUUUGCUGUAAAAAAGCUUGAGGAAGGUGGCUUGAGAUUCGUCUUAAGUGUUUAUAGCCUCUUGCCUAUGCAGUCGGAGAGAUUGAGGUCUGCAGCGUAGAUCCUUCGGGGCUAAAUGCAUUUGUGCUAAGUUAUAGCAUUUUAUAGACAACUUGUUGACUAUGAUUUGUCUUGUAGCUUACUCGCUUAUGUUAUUUUACCUACGCUUAGGAUGUUGACACACGCGCGUGCUCG
rnacentral:rRNA from 1 species